UAUCCUGUAACUUAAUGGUAAAGUAUUCGCUUGAUAAGCGAGUUAUAAUAGUUCGAUUCUAUUCAGGCACA
rnacentral:tRNA from 1 species